AAUCCUACGGGAGGCAGCAGUGAGGAAUAUUGGUCAAUGGUCGGGAGACUGAACCAGCCAAGCCGCGUGAGGGAGGAAGGUACAGAGUAUCGUAAACCUCUUUUGUCAGGGAACAAAGACUGGGACGCGUCCCCGGAUGAGUGUACCUGAAGAAAAAGCAUCGGCUAACUCCGUGCCAGCAGCCGCGGUAAUACGGAGGAUGCGAGCGUUAUCCGGAUUUAUUGGGUUUAAAGGGUGCGUAGGCGGAAUGCCAAGUCAGCGGUAAAAUCGCGGGGCUCAACCUCUCUCCGCCGUUGA
rnacentral:rRNA from 1 species